GACGUGCUAAUCUGCGAUAAGCGUCGGUAAGGUGAUAUGAACCGUUAUAACCGGCGAUUUCCGAAUGGGGAAACCCAGUGUGUUUCGACACACUAUCAUUAACUGAAUCCAUAGGUUAAUGAGGCGAACCGGGGGAACUGAAACAUCUAAGUACCCCGAGGAAAAGAAAUCAACCGAGAUUCCCCCAGUAGCGGCGAGCGAACGGGGAGCAGCCCAGAGCCUGAAUCAGUGUGUGUGUUAGUGGAAGCGUCUGGAAAGGCGCGCGAUACAGGGUGACAGCCCCGUACACAAAAAUGCACAUGCUGUGAGCUCGAUGAGUAGGGCGGGACACGUGGUAUCCUGUCUGAAUAUGGGGGGACCAUCCUCCAAGGCUAAAUACUCCUGACUGACCGAUAGUGAACCAGUACCGUGAGGGAAAGGCGAAAAGAACCCCGGCGAGGGGAGUGAAAAAGAACCUGAAACCGUGUACGUACAAGCAGUGGGAGCACGCUUAGGCGUGUGACUGCGUACCUUUUGUAUAAUGGGUCAGCGACUUAUAUUCUGUAGCAAGGUUAACCGAAUAGGGGAGCCGAAGGGAAACCGAGUCUUAACUGGGCGUUAAGUUGCAGGGUAUAGACCCGAAACCCGGUGAUCUAGCCAUGGGCAGGUUGAAGGUUGGGUAACACUAACUGGAGGACCGAACCGACUAAUGUUGAAAAAUUAGCGGAUGACUUGUGGCUGGGGGUGAAAGGCCAAUCAAACCGGGAGAUAGCUGGUUCUCCCCGAAAGCUAUUUAGGUAGCGCCUCGUGAAUUCAUCUCCGGGGGUAGAGCACUGUUUCGGCAAGGGGGUCAUCCCGACUUACCAACCCGAUGCAAACUGCGAAUACCGGAGAAUGUUAUCACGGGAGACACACGGCGGGUGCUAACGUCCGUCGUGAAGAGGGAAACAACCCAGACCGCCAGCUAAGGUCCCAAAGUCAUGGUUAAGUGGGAAACGAUGUGGGAAGGCCCAGACAGCCAGGAUGUUGGCUUAGAAGCAGCCAUCAUUUAAAGAAAGCGUAAUAGCUCACUGGUCGAGUCGGCCUGCGCGGAAGAUGUAACGGGGCUAAACCAUGCACCGAAGCUGCGGCAGCGACGCUGAUGCGUUGUUGGGUAGGGGAGCGUUCUGUAAGCCUGCGAAGGUGUGCUGUGAGGCAUGCUGGAGGUAUCAGAAGUGCGAAUGCUGACAUAAGUAACGAUAAAGCGGGUGAAAAGCCCGCUCGCCGGAAGACCAAGGGUUCCUGUCCAACGUUAAUCGGGGCAGGGUGAGUCGACCCCUAAGGCGAGGCCGAAAGGCGUAGUCGAUGGGAAACAGGUUAAUAUUCCUGUACUUGGUGUUACUGCGAAGGGGGGACGGAGAAGGCUAUGUUGGCCGGGCGACGGUUGUCCCGGUUUAAGCGUGUAGGCUGGUUUUCCAGGCAAAUCCGGAAAAUCAAGGCUGAGGCGUGAUGACGAGGCACUACGGUGCUGAAGCAACAAAUGCCCUGCUUCCAGGAAAAGCCUCUAAGCAUCAGGUAACAUCAAAUCGUACCCCAAACCGACACAGGUGGUCAGGUAGAGAAUACCAAGGCGCUUGAGAGAACUCGGGUGAAGGAACUAGGCAAAAUGGUGCCGUAACUUCGGGAGAAGGCACGCUGAUAUGUAGGUGAAGUCCCUUGCGGAUGGAGCUGAAAUCAGUCGAAGAUACCAGCUGGCUGCAACUGUUUAUUAAAAACACAGCACUGUGCAAACACGAAAGUGGACGUAUACGGUGUGACGCCUGCCCGGUGC
rnacentral:rRNA from 1 species